AAAGAGUCAUCUUGUGACAAUUUGAUAGAAACAAACUUUUUCCUAGAAAAGCUUUAUUAUAUCGAGUAGUAACUUUGGUAAUUGAUGCAUCACAGGGAUUCCUUGCCUUUUACAAGGGUUUUGUUCCUAAUUUUAGCCGGCUAGCAUCUUGGAAUGUGGUUAUGUUUUUGACUCUUGAGCAAGCCAAGAAAGCUUUCUGGGGGGAAAUAUAUUACGAUUGAUUUUAGUUUGUAACCAGGAAGACACACUGCCUGCUUAUUGUCCCUUGAAUUCUCAAGGAGUAAUUUUUUUUAACAAAGAACAAGGUAUGCAUUGCAUUGCCCUCUUCAUUUUCCUUAGAUAAAAGUAGUGUUAUUGUAAUUUGUAACUAUUUAUGUUAUCCAGACUUGGGGGAAUUCUUUCAAAUUUUCCC